UACGUAGGUGGCGAGCGUUGUCCGGAUUUACUGGGCGUAAAGGGAGCGUAGGCGGACUUUUAAGUGAGAUGUGAAAUACCCGGGCUCAACUUGGGUGCUGCAUUUCAAACUGGAAGUCUAGAGUGCAGGAGAGGAGAAUGGAAUUCCUAGUGUAGCGGUGAAAUGCGUAGAGAUUAGGAAGAACACCAGUGGCGAAGGCGAUUCUCUGGACUGUAACUGACGCUGAGGCUCGAAAGCGUGGGGAGCAAACAGGAUUAGAUUCCCGGGUA
rnacentral:rRNA from 1 species